GUCCGGGCGGGCGACGCGGCCCGGCGAUGGCGCUGGGGAACUCGCUGAAGAUCGGCGGCUCCGCGGGCACCUUGACGUCGUGCUGCUGGCGGCGGUCGCGGUAGUUCAGGUAGUUCAGCUCCACGCGGAUCGCCUUCUCUGGCUCCUCGAUGGGCGCCGACGGCCGUACUUCCGACUAGGGCAAACUGUGCCGGCACGCGGCCAGCGCUGUGCAGGGCGGGGCUGAGCGCGGGGCGAUCACCUCCUGUUGCUGGCUACGCUGCUGCCGGUACGAGCGGUCUGCUGGCUCACGUUAAGCCGAGCGUCGAUCCACAGCUCCAGAUCCUUUUCCUCUACGCAGCCUUCCAGCCGCUCUGCCCCAAGCCUGCAGCGAUGCCUGCGGUUGUUGUGACCAAAGUGCGGGACCCGGCAUGUGGUGUUGUUGAACCUCGUGCCGUUGGCAUCAGCCAUCGAUCAGCUUGUCCAGAUCCCAGGGCAAUGGCAGGCAGGGAAGGGAGCAUCCUGCUGUGCCACCGUCAGCCUGGGCACCAUGUGCUGUGGGUGCCUCAAAACUCCUCCAUCCAUCUGCACAGGAGCUGCACAGGAGCAGCAGUUCUGGCUGUAUCAGCAGGAACUCAGUGCAGCCCUGCAGAGAGUGGUAUGGCAACACAAGAAGAAGAUGACAGCCGUGGAGCGUGAGUGCCUCAGCAGUGUCUGCAGCCUGUGAGGAGUGGGGACAAGGAGACAAUGGGACUCUUGGCUCAGCUAAAAGCAAAGAAUCACUUACCCCUCUGCACACUGUUGAUGGUGAAUCUAAGCAGUUUUGAUCCGGAAAACCGAGGCCCAGCAAUGAUGCACUGUGUGCUAACUUCAGUGCUCUUAGGAAGCAUGAAUUGCUGCAGUUCUGAUGACAGCCUUCCACAAGACAACAGCAAUGGGGAUAAGGAAGAAGGCACUGGAAUGGGCUGCCCAGGGAGGUGGAGUCACCAACCCUAGAGGUUUUCAAGGAACAUUUGGAUUUUGUAUU